rnacentral:rRNA from 1 species
CCUACGGGUGGCAGCAGUGAGGAAUAUUGGUCAAUGGACGCAAGUCUGAACCAGCCAUGCCGCGUGCAGGAAGACGGCUCUAUGAGUUGUAAACUGCUUUUGUACGAGGGUAAAUGCAGGUACGUGUAUCUGUUUGAAAGUAUCGUACGAAUAAGGAUCGGCUAACUCCGUGCCAGCAGCCGCGGUAAUACGGAGGAUCCAAGCGUUAUCCGGAUUUAUUGGGUUUAAAGGGUGCGUAGGCGGUUUUAUAAGUUAGAGGUGAAAUCUCGGGGCUCAACUCCGAAAUUGCCUCUAAUACUGUAGGACUAGAGAGUAGUUGCGGUAGGCGGAAUGUAUGGUGUAGCGGUGAAAUGCUUAGAGAUCAUACAGAACACCGAUUGCGAAGGCAGCUUACCAAACUAUAUCUGACGUUGAGGCACGAAAGCGUGGGGAGCAAACAGGAUUAGAUACCCCAGUAGUC